UACGUAGGGUGCAAGCGUUAAUCGGAAUUACUGGGCGUAAAGCGUGCGCAGGCGGUUUUGUAAGUCAGAUGUGAAAUCCCCGGGCUUAACCCGUGGGAACUGCGUUUGAAACUACAAGGCUAGAGUGUGGCAGAGGGGGUGGAAUUCCACGUGUAGCAGUGAAAUGCGUAGAGAUGUGGAGGAACACCGAUGGCGAAGGCAGCCCCCUGGGUUAACACUGACGCUCAGGCACGAAAGCGUGGGGAGCAAACAGG
rnacentral:rRNA from 1 species